rnacentral:rRNA from 1 species
GGGGGGGGGGGGGGGGGGGCUGGGGGCGGGCGGGGGGGGCGGGGGGGCGGGGGGGGGGUGGGGGGCUGGGGUGGGGGGCGGGGGGGGCAGACGGGAGUAACCCGCCCUGGGAUUGGGGGUGACCGCAGGAACCUGGGGCGGAUACCGGGGAGGAGCGACGUGUGGAGGGGGGGGGGUGGAAGGUUUCGGCGGUCGUGGAUGGGCUGCGGGCUUAUCAGUUUGGUGGUGGGGUAGUGGCUAACCAAGGCUUUGACGGGUAGCCGGCCUGAGAGGGUGACCGGCCACAUUGGGACUGAGAUACGGCCCAGACUCCUACGGGAGGCAGCAGUGGGGAAUAUUGCACAAUGGGCGGAAGCCUGAUGCAGCAACGCCGCGUGCGGGAUGACGGCCUUCGGGUUGUAAACCGCUUUCGCCUGUGACGAAGCGUGAGUGACGGUAAUGGGUAAAGAAGCACCGGCUAACUACGUG